CUCCGUGUCCCGCCGUUCCCCUCAUGCUGUGGGGAUCCGUGUGGGGUGUGUGUGUGGCAGACCCCCGGGGGUCAGGGGAAGCCCCCUCCGGCCGCCUUUAGCCCAGGCAGCUAGCUCGGGAAGGACGGGGCUCGCUCGCCUCAGACGCCCCGAGUGAGGGCAGCCCCCUGCCGCCCCCGGGAGCUGCAGCGGUGGCCCAGGAGGUCGCGGUGAGUGAGGGGCUGGCAGGGCGGUUCUCGGUAGCUGAAAGGGCUGAGCGGCGCUGGGGGGUGCCUGGGGGGCUUGGGGGGCCGGGCAGCCUCAGAGCUUCCAAGUGAGCGCCUGUGAGGAAAUGCUCUCCCGCCCCGGAGGCAUGUGGCACCAGCAUUUACUCGCAGUUUGCUGCCUAUGUGUUUUUUCACCUGCCCAUGAGCACAUGCUUUCUGGUCCAUACACACCCGCACGUUCCCAUUCCAAAGUAAUUUCCGAUGUCACAUUUGGCUAAUUGAGCUCAUCCAGGACGCUACGUGGAAGCAAUUAAAACUGUUUUUGUCUGUGCAGUUCAUGCCAGGGUCACACAAGCUGAGACAUUUUUGAUAGAUACAUCUUCGUGCGAGCAUUGAUAUUUGCUCCGUUUGUUUUAGUGCAUCUCUGCAUUGCUAUGGCCUAACCAUAGCCUCUGUGCUCUAGAACUGCAGGUUAAAUUUUGGAGUUUCUUUUUUUCUUCUUUUUGUGGAAAAAAAAAGCAAUGAAAUAAACAUUUUACCUGUUCUUAGAUUUCCAUUGUUGAGUACCAAACAAACCCAACAAUCUGAAGUACCGUCUAUUGCGUGUUACAAAAGAAGCUUAUGGACAUAUUCACGGAGUUAAUUCACAUAAAAGAGAUGUUAAGAUAGCUGUACAAUGACAAUGCACAUCUUUACACAAAUGAGAUUUUUUCCACUGACUUAUGCAUACGGAACUAUGUUGAUAUAGUUCAUAAGCUUGCACAUAGGCAAAUUUGCAUAUAGGCUUAGUUUGCUUGAAGCCAGCGGCUUUAAUUUCCGUUUUGAGUGGCCAGACAAUUAUAGGCUAAGAAGAAAAGGGGAAGGAAAGAGGAGGAAAACUUUACCUGCCAGUUGUCUAACAGUCACUGUUUUACAAAGAACAUUGAAAGUUCAUAAAUCAUGGGUAACAGUUUUAAGGCAAGAUUUUAAUUAUUGUUUGCUGUCACACUGGUAUGUGAUAGCAACCAGUGAGGAAAGCACACUAGAUAUCAUGGGUGAAGAUACACCAUCCCAGGCUAAAUUGUAGAUGAUAUCCGGAAUUGUCUUAGCAGCUGGAUAAAAUUGUUGAGGUGUAUGCCUUCUGUGGUGAAUAAAAGCACUUUGGGCUCUUCAUUGAUUUUUACUUAAUGUGCUAUUUUAAAGUGCUGAAAGAAUUCUAACUUGGAAGGUCAUGGGGGGGAGGUCUCUUUUCUGAGUCUGUGGGCAUCAUGUAAACAUCUUUAAGAGCCCCCAGGUACAUAACUAAUUUCUUGGGUAUAAAGAGUUUCAGAAAUUGUUCACGCACGUGACUGAAUUGUGAAAAAGUGGGGGAGUCUUUCUUUGUGGGGGAGUCCUACUUAUACUGCCUUCACCAGACAUUCUGGCUCAAUUUUUAUUGUGGACAGAGUUUCAGAUUAUCCAGAAAAAUCUAUGCUAGCACAGUUUUGCUGUAAUUUAUAUGAAGUGGUCUUAGUUUAGCAGACAGAAGUCAAGAGGCCUGAAUUGGCUUUACUUGUGGAGCAUGGUGCAGAUUGGGGCAUGUUGUUGGACAAGGUGGGGGAGGCAAGACAAGAUAUUUAUAGAAUGAUUUAUCAUUUUGAACAUGCGGGAGUGAUGCUAAAUUGUAUUGAAGUUACCUUGAACUGUUUUUGAGAACAGAUGUUUAAGGGUAUAUGGAAGUAAUCAGAAAUGACCAAACUACUGUGAUUUAAUGACUUUGUACACCUGUCAGCAUGUACAUGUUCCACUGCUGCAGCUCAUGUACUAGAAUGCUCCUAUUGCAGAGGAAGAGUCAAUAUGUUGGCAUGUAUGAUUUACAAGUUGUGGUCAGAGGCAAACACAGAUAGUGCCCCAAAGAAAACUUGUAGCUGUAUAAGCAGAUGUCAACAGAGUUAACAAAGCUCCGAGAUUCUGUCUAAAACAGGCAGCUAACUUAGUUCACACUCAACUUAGUCUGCCAACUGGGUGUAGACUAGACAUACUGUUAUCCCUGCCAAGACAGGGCCUUUAAGCUUUCUCGUUUUCCCAAAGUGCUAGAUUCUUUGUUAGAAGUGUGUUGGUACAGGAAUCAAAAGAGGAACUGAUUUGAAAAACCAACAUUAUCCUUUCUAAAUAUCUGAUAAUUAAAUCAUUCUUCUUACAGAUUUUUGGAAAACACAAGGCAGUGCUGAACAACUGUAGCUCUACGUUUAAGUAUUAUGACAGUGAAAUACCGAGCAAGAGAGAACAUUCCAAGAGCAGUCAGCCAGAGGCAAACACUGAGGUGGUGUUAAUGGAGGAGAAGGCUGAAAUAUACUAGAAUUUCAGAUGAAGUUCUGCUUUUCCCUGGGAAGUCCUCUGCCAAGGGAACUUCACCUGUGACACG